AGACAUUAAUCUUAAGUAUCCAGGGAGCCCUAAAACAUUGUAUCCCACUAGCAAGGACCAUGGUAAUUGCCACGUAAAUCCCCUCCAUUAUGUGGCCCUUAUUAUGACCAGCCAGCCAAGGCUUGCCUUUAAAUCAUACCAAUUGAACCGAGCCUUGUAGAAACACUAUCACCUACGCAUACCUCUGCUUCUUUUCAUUAACCUGCUAUCCUCUUUACAAAUGGGAUUCUUCACCCACUCCCUUCUUCUAGAUUAGCAAUGCCCUGUUAAGUAAACGAACACGAAAUUCAAAGGGAAACAGGAGCAAUCAUCAUUACCAGCUGCCGUGUUAAGCAUUGCGAAAACGCUCACGAUUCACAGAAAAAUCCAUGCUGUUCUUUGAAGGCAUUCAAGCCUUAAUAGCUAGCUGGAUGAAUGUUUAACUUCUAGGCCAGGCACUACUCUGUCCCAACAAUAAGCCCUGUACAUUGGGAAAGGUGCCGAGACAUGAACUUUGGUCUUCUCUGCAAUCCAUCUGGAGCAUUCACUGACAACAUCGACUUUGAAGUUGCACUGACCUGGCCAGCCCUGCCACUUACCAGGUUGGGGUCUGCCCUCAGGGGAAGCUGUCUAACCAGAGCCUAACCCACUAGGGUUUUAUCAGAACCUAACUGACCUGAGGAAAAGAAAUACUCAACUCCAGCAAGCUCCAGCCUUCCAAAUGGAGGAGGAGAAAACCCAACUCCAGCCCACUUCAGCUAUCUUGUCCCACAUAAAGGGGAAGUGGAAGAAACCUGAGAAGCAGGCAUGAAGUUCACAGUCCAGAGACCUUGCCAUCGUAUCCCCUUUUGGAGACACAAGCCAGGAAGGAAGCUCUUCAGUGCAGCUGUGAAUAGAGAAAUGCUGGCUGAGGUUUUGGAGACACUGGGUGAUCAUUCCCAGUGAAAUUUUUAGAUCCCUGGGGACAUGAGCUGCUUUGUCUUUUCCAAGGCUGAAAAAGUUUUGGAAGCCCUCCUAAGCAGGUGCCAGACCCUUUUUUGGCCAGAGACAGGAUCUUACGCUGUUGCCCAGGCUGGAGUGCAAUAGUGUCAUCAUGGCUCACUGUAGCCUGGAACUGCUGGGCUCAAGGGAUCCUCCCAGCUCAGCCUCCCAAGUAGCUAGGAGUAAAGUCUGGAGAACACUUUUUCUUUUGAGCUGUUUACAACCUUUAGCAAUUGAGUAGAGUGUACUCUUGUCAAUAGAAUUUGAAGCACAUUUCUCUCUCUGCCUGAUUUCUGUAGAAUUUGUAAACUAUUUGUGAAUAUUCUUAAUUUAUGGCAAUAUGGUUGCUUACAUAAGUUCAAUAAUAAUCUGUUUUCUUUUACAAUGAGACACAGUUGGAGGAACUGGUUAUUUUCCCAGGGCUUUGACUGAAAUGGCCUUGUGAAUGGUUCCAGGAAAGCCAAUUUUGGAGACCCUAUGUGGAUGAUGAUGCUUGCUGUACUUUCUGUGGGUAAUCGGGCCAAGUAUAUGGGACUGAAGCUAAUUUUGCAGGUGAGAAAAUGGAGGUCCAGAGAGAAAAGUGACUCACCCAAGCUGAAAACAGUUGCAGGAAGAAAAGCCAGGACAGAACUGGGCUGUUAGAAACCUUGGAGUACACUAAAGAUGAGGAACUGAGUCACCGCAAUGCCAAAUGUAACACGCUGUGGGUCAAAAUUUGGAUGGUUGCGUUGGAAAUUAUUCUGAAGCCACAGACAGGGCUAAAAGAGUCUAGAAUGUCCUACUAGCUGUUGGAACCUGCUGGAGUUCUAAAGGCAUGCGAUGUCCUGAAUGUGCUUGACCAAUGGACACAGCAGGUAUUUGAAGAGUUUUGAUGCUUCCUUUCUGUUUUCAGUGCUAUUUUUUUGCUUUAUUUCUUUUAAAAAACUUUCCCCACAGAGGCUAUUUAUUACACAGCAGCAGCCAGCAUGCACCAAGCAGAACUGCUUUUCAUAAUAAACCUAUUUAUCUUCUGGCAUGUCAGAAAUUUCUCAAAUUGAUACUUAUAAUAAAUAUGAUUAAUAACACAUUGUA
rnacentral:lncRNA from 1 species